UCCCCCGCCUCCCCGAGCGUUUUACAGCAGGCGGGGCGGCUGCGUGUUGUGGUACCGCAAGGAGAUACCAGUAACGGCUGGAAGCGGAGCUCCGGCACCACGAGCGGAGCAGGAGUGCGGCUUGUAGACAGCGUUCAGCUUGCUGGUCUGAGCCGGUCCCUUCUAGCUCACACAACCUCCUGCAGCGCUACAGGCUAGGGGAAGAGCGCGUGGAAAGCUGCCCAGAGGAAAAGGAGGUGCUGACUGACGGCCGCCUAACAUGAGCCAGCUUGUGCCCGGGUGUCCGAGAAGGCCAACAGCGUCCUGGCCUGUAUCAGCAAUAGUGUAGCCAGCAGGGCCAGGGAAGUGAUCAUCCUUCUGUACCGGACACUGCACAAUGAUGCUUCCAUGUCAAGCGAUGCAUCUGAGACCAGAGAGGGAAAGUGACUGGCCUGGGAGUGCACAGGCAAGCUGUGAAAAUACUCAGCUCAACAGAAGGUGAGCUCUGAAUGAAGGGAGAGAAACCAUCAACAACAUCAUCAACUCCUGAGAAGGACUCGGGACGCUGGGGACUCACUGAAACACUCCCCUCAGAAUGACGCUGAGAACUGUAGGAUGCAGAGGAGGUGGGGAAGGGAUUCCAGAAGAAAUUAAUCCCAAGGACAUCAUGCCACACAUUUCCCAGAGGAGCUCUGGAUUAAAGACGAUUCUUCCUUGUUGGGUAGGAAAAAUGGUAGACUGAAAGGACGGACUAAGGUCAUGUUUUAAUGUGCAUUGCCCCAGCAUAGCCAAACACUGUUAUAAUCACCAACAAGAAAAGGAGAUAAUGUGGACAAGGUAAUUAAAAAAAUGUCUAAAUAUAUUUAAAAUGAAGGAGGAGAGUUAUGUAAAGAGAUUAAUGUGAAAGGAAAAAGCAGUGACUUAGACUAGAAAAGGGGGAUUGGUAAGUCCCCCCCUGCUCAACUCAAUAUGGUAUGUAUUUAAACUAUAGAAAUUGCUGGUCCUUUGAGUAAAAUGCUGUUGCUGCUGUAUUUGGCAAAGGCAGAUGAGAAGUGAUAAGAACUCUUCCUGCAGUAGUUACGAUGACUCAGGAAAUAAUUACAAGCUUCAUCACUUUUUUAAUGACUUUGGAUAUAAAAACUGCUUUGAAACCUUAUAAAAUAAUAAAUAUUUAAAAUCUAGAUAAUGAAAAAGCACCAGAGCAUAGCACUGGGCUUUUAUUCAGACAAAAUAACUAACCUGUGGUACUCUUUCAAUUUAUACUAAUGAAAACUAAUCUGUACAUACAUCUCUAGAAGACAAUGAUAUUAAAAGUACUUUUUGAAAGAAAGAAAAAAUAAAUGAAUAAUACAA